rnacentral:rRNA from 1 species
UACGUAGGUGGCGAGCGUUGUCCGGAUUUACUGGGCGUAAAGGGCUUGUAGGCGGUCCGUUAAGUCCGAUGUGAAAUCUCCCGGCUCAACUGGGGAGGGUCACGCGAUACUGGUCGACUCGAAGGCAGGAGAGGGUAGUGGAAUUCCCGGUGUAGUGGUGAAAUGCGUAGAUAUCGGGAGGAACACCAGUGGCGAAGGCGACUACCUGGCCUGUUCUUGACGCUGAGGCGCGAAAGCUAGGGGAGCAAACGGG